rnacentral:rRNA from 1 species
AACGAACGCUGGCGGCAUGCCUAACACAUGCAAGUCGAACGAGACCUUCGGGUCUAGUGGCGCACGGGUGCGUAACGCGUGGGAACCUGCCCUUAGGUUCGGAAUAACUCCCCGAAAGGGGUGCUAAUACCGGAUAAUGUCUUCGGACCAAAGAUUUAUCGCCUUUGGAUGGGCCCGCGUUGGAUUAGCUAGUUGGUAGGGUAAAAGCCUACCAAGGCGACGAUCCAUAGCUGGUCUGAGAGGAUGAUCAGCCACACUGGGACUGAGACACGACCCAGACUCCUACGGGAGGCAGCAGUGGGGAAUAUUGGACAAUGGGCGAAAGCCUGAUCCAGCAAUGCCGCGUGAGUGAUGAAGGCCCUAGGGUUGUAAAGCUCUUUUACCCGGGAUGAUAAUGACAGUACCGGGAGAAUAAGCUCCGGCUAACUCCGUG